rnacentral:rRNA from 1 species
CACGUAGGGAGCAAGCGUUGUCCGGAUUUAUUGGGCGUAAAGAGCUCGUAGGUGGUUCGGUAAGUCAGGUGUGAAACCUCCAGGCUCAACCUGGAGACGCCACUUGAUACUGCUGUGACUGGAGUCCGGUAGGGGAGCGUGGAAUUCCUGGUGUAGCGGUGAAAUGCGCAAAUAUCAGGAGGAACACCAGCGGCGAAGGCGGCGCUCUGGGCCGGUACUGACACUGAGGAGCGAAAGCGUGGGGAGCGAACAGG